UACUACAUAUUUUCUUCAAACCCAAAGGAUUUGGCGGUGUUUAAUCUGCUCAUAGGAACCUGUCCUGUAAUCGUCACUACCCGUUANAUCUCACCCGGCCUGAGUUCAUAUACCGUCAUCUUAGCACUAUCUGGAGAGGAUGUUUAAAAGGGUGACACCAAUGUUAGAUCAAGGUGUGGCCCAUGGGCGGGGAUAAGAUGGGUUWCAGUUUAAAGAUUAGUGGAGGCUCG
rnacentral:rRNA from 1 species